GCAAUCCGGCCUUUAAACUACCAGCGGGCGGGCUCCCUACGGGGCAGUCCGCCCUUGGCCAACUUAUCGAGUACGCGGG
rfam:Cocksfoot mottle virus isolate CfMV-No P1, P2A2B, P2A, and CP genes, complete cds.